UGCACAUGAUGAUAAAUAAUAUUUGCUAUCUGAGAGCUGUGAUUACACUCUUCCACCAAGAUCCCUGAUGCA